rnacentral:snRNA from 1 species
GUGCUGUCUUCGGCAGCACAUAUUCUAAAAUUGGAAAGAUACAGAAAAGAUUAGCAUGGCCCCUGCGCAAGGCUGACACGUAAAUUCAUGAAGCAUUCCAUAUUUUU